GAAAAGUGAAGGGAAGGGUUUAUCCUCCCCUCCGCCCGUACUCAUAACCGCAACAGGUCUCCAAGGUGAGUAGCCUCGAGUCGGUAGACGAAGGUAAGUAAGGGAAGUCGGCAAAAUGGAUCCGUAACUUCGGGACAAGGAUUGGCUCUAAGGGUUGAGCAUCGUCGCACGUUUCCUGCGGUUCUUGAGCGCGUGUUCGAGAGACUCGAUGCUCUCGAGUCUCUCCUCGGCUCAUACCAUGCUUCUUUGCAGGAGGCUAUAGAGAGAUAUAGGAGUUCUCGGAUCUUCCUCUUCCACUGAGAACCAUCUGAACUAUGGUGCACGAUUGUGAAUAAAACAACCAGCUUAGAACUGGUACGGACAAGGGGAAUCCGACUGU
rnacentral:rRNA from 1 species